AGCAGCCGCGGUAAUUCCAGCUCCAAUAGCGUAUAUUAAAGUUGUUGCAGUUAAAAAGCUCGUAGUUGAAUUUCGGGAUCAAUAUAUCGGUCGUGCCAUUGGUACGUACUGGUAUCAUUGGUUUCUCCUUUCUGACGAACCAUGAUGUCAUUAAUUUGGUGUUAUGGGAAGUUAGGACUGUUACUUUGAAAAAUUAGAGUGUUUAAAGCAGGCUUUAGCUUGAAUACAUUAGCAUGGAAUAAUGAAAUAGGACGUUCGAACCUAUUUUGUUGGUUUCUAGGAUCAACGUAAUGAUUAAUAGGGAUAGUUGGGGGCAUUAGUAUUCAAUUGUCAGAGGUGAAAUUCUUGGAUUUAUUGAAGACUAACUACUGCGAAAGCAUUUGCCAAGGAUGUUUCAUUAAUCAAGAACGAAAGUUAGGGGAUCGAAGACGAUCAGAUACCGUCGUAGUCUUAACCAUAAACUAUGACCGACUAGGGAUCGGAUGAUGUUAAUUUUUAAUGUACUCA
rnacentral:rRNA from 1 species